rnacentral:tRNA from 1 species
GGGUCCGUCGUUUAUACGGAGUAAGAUCCUGUCUUUGGUAAACAGAGAAAGCGGGUGCAACUCCCGCCGGAUCCA